GGAAAGAUGGCUCAGUGGUUAGAGCGCUGACUGCUCUUCCAGAGGUCCUGAGUUCAAAUCCCAGCCAUCUG
rfam:Rattus norvegicus chromosome 20, whole genome shotgun sequence.